CAACGCCUACGGGGGGCAGCAGUGAGGAAUAUUGGUCAAUGGACGAAAGUCUGAACCAGCCAUGCCGCGUGCAGGAAGACGGCUCUAUGAGUUGUAAACUGCUUUUGUACAAGGGUAAACCUGAAUACGUGUAUUCAGCUGAAAGUACUGUACGAAUAAGGAUCGGCUAACUCCGUGCCAGCAGCCGCGGUAAUACGGAGGAUCCAAGCGUUAUCCGGAUUUAUUGGGUUUAAAGGGUGCGUAGGCGGAUUGAUAAGUUAGAGGCGAAAUGUCCGGGCUCGACUCGGUAACUGCCUCUAAUCCUG
rnacentral:rRNA from 1 species